GCCUGGGUGGCUCAGUCGGUUAAGCAUCUGACUUCGGCUCAGGUCAUGAUCUCACGGUCCAUGGGUUCAAGCCCCACGUCGGGCU
rnacentral:tRNA from 1 species